CCCGAGCUUGCCGGGCUGGGGGUGGGGGAAGCUCGGGCUUCCCCCGCUCCCAGCCCCGCAAGCUCCGGGAG